CGCAUCUGUGCAUGCAGCAUAUCAAUAAGCGGAGGAAAAGUACUACCUACGCUUAGGAUGUUGAAGAUGUAGCACAUCAUACACGCAUGACACACUGCAUAUCAAUAAGCGGAGGAAAAGGCUGCAGGAACUGAACGACCGCUACCUACGCUUAGGAUGUUGAAGAUGUAGCACAUCAUACACGCAUGACACACUGCAUAUCAAUAAGCGGAGGAAAAGUCAACUACCUACGCUUAGGAUGUUGAAGAUAUGCGCGACACGGCUCUAUACAUGACUCUGCGCAUAUCAAUAAGCGGAGGAAAAGUAAAUGGCUAUUACCUACGCUUAGGAUGUUGACACACGCGCGUGCUCGACUCUAUACAUGACUCUGUGCAUAUCAAUAAGCGGAGGAAAAGAAACUAACAAGGAUUCCCUCAGUAACGGCGAGUGAAGCGGGAAGAGCUCAAAUUUGAAAUCUUGAAAGGUCACCUUUCACGAAUUGUAGUUUAAAGAAGUGUUUUCUGUUACGAUCGUAAUAUAAGUUCUUUGGAAUAGGACAUCACAGAGGGCGAGAAUCCCGUCUAUGAUUGCGAUUUGUAGCUUUGUGAUACACUUUCAAAGAGUCGGGUUGUUUGGGAAUGCAGCCCAAAACGGGAGGUAAAUUUCUUCUAAGGCUAAAUAUUGGCGAGAGACCGAUAGCGAACAAGUACCGUGAGGGAAAGAUGAAAAGAACUUUGAAAAGAGAGUUAAAUAGUACGUGAAAUUGUCAAAAGGGAAGCGUUUAACACCAGUGUUGUUUUCUGAAAAUCAACCUCUGUUAGCUUUAUGCAUGUUUGUUUAGACCUAAUCAGCUAUCUUGCAUGUUCUAUUGUUUGCAGUGGUGCACUUUUCAGUUUACAGGUCAACAUCAGUUUUUUUUACCGUAAAAAAGUUAAAGAAAGGUAGCUCAUGGCUCCGGUCGUGAGUGUUAUAGUCUUUUUCCUAUGCGGUAGGAGAGACUGAGGUCUGCAGUGUAGGCUAUUUGGCUAGAUACUCAGGUGCUAUGUGAUACCAUUUCAUAAACAACUUGUUGAUUAUGUUUUGUCUAUUGCAUACUCGCUUGUACUAUCAUACCUACGCUUAGGAUGUUGAGUCGUAGAGCACGCAG
rnacentral:rRNA from 1 species